rnacentral:ncRNA from 1 species
GUUUCAGGGCGGGGUGAAAGUCCCCACCGGUGGUAAAUCUCCAACUGGGAGAUGAGCCCACGACCGUUUCUAUUGGAAACGCUGAUCUGGUGAGAUCCCAGAGCCGACGGUCAAAGUCCGGAUGAAAGAAA